GACGAACGCUGGCGGCGUGCCUAACACAUGCAAGUCGAACGAGGUCCAUCCUUCGGGAGAAGACCUAGUGGCGAACGGGUGAGUAACACGUGAAGAACCUGCCCCGAAGACCGGGAUAACCCUCCGAAAGGAGAGCUAAUACCGGAUACCCCCACGAACCGCAUGGUUUGGUGAGGAAAUGGAUUCCGCUUCGGGAGGGCUUCGCGGCCUAUCAGCUAGUUGGUGGGGUAACGGCCACCAAGGCAUCGACGGGUAGCUGGUCUGAGAGGACGAUCAGCCACACUGGGACUGAGACACGGCCCAGACUCCUACGGGAGGCAGCAGUGGGGAAUCUUGCGCAAUGGGCGAAAGCCUGACGCAGCAACGCCGCGUGGGGGGUGAAGGCUCUCGGGUUGUAAACCCCUUUCAGCAGGGACGAAUCAAGACGGUACCUGCAGAAGAAGCCCCGGCUAACUACGUGCCAGCAGCCGCGGUAAU
rnacentral:rRNA from 1 species